GAUUCUCCUGCCUCAGCCUCCUGAGUAACUGGGAUUACAGCUCUACCCUGGGUCCCGGAAGGGGGCUGUCCACCCAUGGGCUCUCGAGGCGUGUGCUCCUAGCUCCCACUUCACAGGAAGAGGGGAUGAGGGCAGGGCACAGAGCCACGUCCCAGCUGAUGUGGAAACCAAGGCUUCAAGUCAUGUGGCCGGGAAGACAGCCAGCAGGUGAUGGAGCCAGGGUUCCAAUCCAGACUGCAAACAGAGCCCAGCUGUCAGCCGCAGUGCAGCGAUGGCCAGCCCUGGCCUCCCUUACAGGCCUGUGAUGUCUAUGGCCUGUGCCUGGACUGAUGUGAGAUGGGCAAAUGAGGAGGCAGAGGCCUGGUGACAAGACACCAGGCUCCCUGGGGCAGGUUUAACCCACAUGCCUAGGGCUGUGAGGCGGUGGCGAUGGCAGGAGUGCAGUGAGGCGGCUGGAGCCCCGAGCCCCAGGCCCACAGUCCUGGGUUCUAUCGCCCGCUCUCCCUCCUCCCAGGAUGGGGCGACCUGCCAGCCUCCCUGGGUGUGUUCCAGUAGCAGUGCCUGACCUAAAGAGUCACAGAAAAAACCAAAAAA